rnacentral:lncRNA from 1 species
AGACUGGUGUCUCUCAAGUGCAAACACUGUGCUGGGGUGCACAGCUGCAUGCUGCCAACUUGAAGGGAAAGCAUCCUCUAGAGGUCUCCUUGGGAGGGCGUGUCUAGCCCUUAACGCUUUAGCAGGGCUGUAUUGUUGCUCAAGAAGGCCUCAUGGGCAGAGGAAAGCUUGGUUGCAGCCCUACUUCCAGAUUAUUCUAGAACUCACUUGCUUUUCCUCAGUCCAAGAUGUUCACUUCUCUUUCCUGGCAAUAGUAUUUUAAGAAGUAAAAAAUGUUAAAAAAAAAAAAAAAGAAGUGUUAUCUCACUGUGAAUUCUUCAGAAGGGAACCUGUGGUUGUACUAAGUCAGACAGAGAUGGUUCUUAAGUAGUACAUCUUUUGAUAAAAAAAUGCUUAUCCCGUUUUUCAUUUUUAAAAAAAAUUUGUAGUAUGUGUAUGGAUAUGUAUAGCAUGUCUGUCUGUCUGUCUAUCUAUUUAUCCAAGUACAAUAUAUAUAGUACACACACACACACACACACACACACACACACACACACACACAAGAUCAGAGUCCUUGGAGGAAAACUUGAUGAAUACUCAGAACCAAGGCCAUGUUAAGCCACACUUGACUGUCUAGUAUAGUCUUCUUACGUUUCUUCCCAGAGAGAGUUUGUCUUUUCCCCCCCCCCAAAGAGUGUGUUCUUUUAUUGUGAGUGUUGUUGGUCUCACUUCCUGUUCAGCACUGCACACCUCAGUAAUCAUUUAGGGAGCACCAUCAGUCACCUGGCAGAUCCAGAGUUCAGUUAAGGAACUUAGAAGAGUGACUCUGUGGUUGCUUUUUGUCGAUUUGUUAGCUUUUUCUUUAAACUAAUUUGUAACUGAAAUCCUAAGUGUGAGUAUUUUCGGUGAAUGAUCUUACACAUGGAGUUGUCAGAAGUGAGCAACCCUUAUUUUACCAUCUCUUUAACUAGAAAUAAUAGCAGAGAGCUUUUAGGCUUUGUUAAUCUCCCAUUGGAUCCUUGGGUGAGAAUUCAUCGGAGCCAUGCCAUUUGAAUUCAGCAUAUAAGCUCCUGAGGGGACCAUUGGCUUAUCAUCAUCAGCAAUUACUUCUGAUAGCUCAAAAUAACAGUAGCAGUUAGUAUUAAUUAUAGUCAAUUAUAUUGAUUAUUAUUCUUAAUAUAGCUAACAUCAGAUAUUAACUUAGCAAAUAGCAUUCUAAAGUUCCUACCUAGAUAUUUAAUACAUUUAAUUUGCAAAAGAAUUUAAGAGGUAUAUACCUACUUUUUCUCUUAGUUUAUAAGUCUGAAAAUUGAGCAUACAGAGGAUUGCCUAGAAACAGUCAGAAUCGAGACUUGAAUUUAGGUACAUGUAUUGAAAUGUAUAUUUUAAACAUCUGUCUGUCUGUUUGUCUGUCUGUCCGUCUGUCAGUCUGUCUAUCAUCUAGCUAUAAUUCUUAAACAUUUUUAACUGAGAUAAUUAUUUGAGAAAAACAGUAGUCCAUUUUCCAUUUAACUAGAAAAUUGAUUCAUCAAUUAAGGUGUGAUUAAAUUUGUGAAGUAUUUAUCCUUUUAUGAAUGUAUUUAAACAGUGUAUAUAUUUGCUUUCAGCUGUGUUCUGUGGACGUGCACUUCACUGGUACUUAGUGAGCUGUGAGGCGAACUUAAACUAGCAGGUGCUGACUUGGCAGACGUUUUCAUCCCUGCACCAUAAACAUGACUUUACACUUUGAACAUUUCAAUUGUCUUAAUCAAUUAAGCUUCGGAACACUUUCCUGAUCAGACAUCGUGACUCAGCCUCCUGGAUGACGGUCAGCAUCGCCAGAUUCUUUUUUCUCCUGUGCUCAAAACAGCAUCCAGAUAAUAUAUAGUCUUUACUAUUGUUUCUUUGAAACUCCUUCGUAUUUAUAAGAGAAUUUUAACAAUGUCUGUACUGUUAUCAAAGGGAGGUUUCGGCAGCUUCUAUCAUGGUGAGAUCAUUUGGAUGGGAUGGAAGCCAAUUUUGUCAAGUUCCCAGCCAGCUCAGUUAAAAGCAAAACCAACAAGAGCAUCGUAAACAGUGCUUCUGUUCUGAUAAGUGCUGGUAAUCUGCUUGUGUGAAUAAGGCAGGGCUGGACCAGUGACGGUGUGGUCUUCUAGGAAACUAAUAGCCACAUGAGGUGGCUGAACAUAGAUGCUACAUGUCUGUCCAUCAGGAACUCUGAUGCUUGAACAGCAUGUGUUUAUUUAUUAACUAUUUUGUAAUAUUUGUUGACAAAAGCACACAUAAAUAAAUGUGUUGGUGUGAAAAAGUCAUGCUGUCCUUGAAGGGGCAUGUAGAUUUUUCCUCAGACUUCAUCGUCAGCACACAGCUCACGUGCCUUUAGUCCUUUUAAAAAGUAGGUGCUAGCCUCUUUGCUAAUGCAUGCUUCCAGUGUUAUUAUAUUUAAUGGACACUGUCAGUAGUAUACAAGUUCUUUUGCUUACAUGUGCAAAUUUACAUAUAAAUGUAACAUUGUAAAUUUCAACAUUGAAAAUCUGUAUGUAUUUCUGACUGCAGAAGUAAUAAGAAGUAUUUUGCAAUUUGUAAAAUUAAGAAACAAUUUGUAGUUUUAGAUUAUACCAAUUUGUUUUAAUUUAAAAUUAUAUGUGUAUGCAUAUAUAUAUAUAUAUACACACAUACAUAGUGUAUUAGUCAGGGUUCUCUAGAGUCACAGAACUUAUGGAUAGUCUCUAGAUAAUAAAGGAAUUUAUUGAUGACUUACAGUCGGCAGCUCAAUUCCCAACAAUCGUUCAGUCACAGCUGUGAAUGGAAGUCCAAGGAUCUAGCAGUUACUCAGUCUCACGCAGCAAGCAGGCGAAGGAGCAAGAGCAAGAGCUAGAGCUAGACUCCCUUCUUCCAAUGUCCUUAUAUUGUCUCCAGCAAAAGGUGUAGCCCAGAUUAAAGGUGUGUUCCACCACACCUUUAAUCCCAGAUGAAAGGCAUAGCCCAGAUUAAAGGUGUGUUCCUUAACUCGGAGAUUCAAUCUUCUGGAAUCCAUAGCCACUAUGGCUCAAGAUCUUCAAACCAAGAUCCAGAUAAGGAUCUCCAAGCCUCCAGAUAAGGGUCACUGGUGAGCCUUCCAAUUCCGAAUUGUAGUUCAUUCCAAAUAUUGUCAAGUUGACAACCAGGAAUAGCCACUACACAUAGUAUUUCUCUAUGUACUUUCAGAAGUGCUGUAGUAUAAAAGUAUUACUUUUGAAGAAAAUACUGCAGAAUAGGACAUGCUGCUCUAUGACUAAAAUGGCAUUACUAUUUCAGAUUUAUCUUUUUCUAAAUUAUUAGCUUACCAAACUGUUUGAGGGAAAUUGUCACAUACCCCAUAUUUGAAAAUGUUUUAUCUUAGACUGUAAUGAUACACUAUAAAUGGCCAACAUAUGUUUUGUUUUUCCAUGUAAUUUAUUUUAGAAAGGAAAAAAUUGGCUUUCUAGCUUUAUAUGAAAUACCUUCUAAAUCAAACUUUUGUAGCACGAAUUUUAAGUACUAUAGAAUCUAUUUAUAUUAAACCUUAUACAUUCUACUGUCCUCAUUUAUAAGCAAGCUUACAUUCUACUGUCCUCAUUUAUAAGCAAGCUUUUUUGUUUGUUUGUUGUUUGUUUUGGUGUUUUUUUCUUUUUUUUUUUUUGUGUGGCAUAAUGGACUUUUGGGUACAGUCCUACUUUGCUUUGUAGCUGAAUUUUGCUGUUAUAUUAGAAAGAGCUAUUUGAAUUUUCAAAAAUUGUAAGAACACAGAGGAGAUGCCAGUUUAUGCCAAGAAAGUUUGUC